UACAGAUCCCCGGCUAACCUCCUAGGAAUGACAUGUUUUCUGUUUUCAGUACAAAAGAGAAAAAAAUUGUAUUAGUAUAGUAGCUAUUUCUGAACUGGGAAGUGGACUGUCACAUGAGUAUAAAAUAUUACUCUGAGGACCUUCUCUAUCAAUGCAUGGGUCAGGUAGUGAGCCAGCAUACAGAGGAGAUGCAAUCUGGUGUCUACCUUGGAUCUUACCGUAUAAUUGGGAAGACAGACAGAAGAAGUGUUCUCAAGGAUAGUUCACUACAUGGCGCCUGCUACCUUCCUGUCUAUCGCAGCUCCUUCUCUGAAAGGCAGGACCCACGCAGUUUUGUUGCAUCAAGUUCAACUCUGCAUCUCCUCAAAGGCUUUCAUUAGAACGAGUGAGAGAUACGCAUAUAGCUGCAUUCACACAGAAUGUGGUUAAGGUCAACUAUCUUAGGAACGUAUCUCUUUCAACACGAUUAUAUUGGAUAUUAGUAAAUAAGGCCUCUGGCUAUAAUUCAAAGAACAUCUGAAACGCAAAGAUGGAACCAGAAGACCUUGUUUUUUAAAAAUUGAAAUAUUCAGAAUGACUAAGGGGCAACUGAAGUGCUUUUCUAAUCAUAAGCAGAUGACAUCAUAAUUCCUAUUAAAUAGGUGUCUGAAAUUUUCACCAUUUCUCCCUAAACAUACAAGGAGGGAAGCCCCAAAUUGCAAUUGCACAAAAGAAACAUAAAAGAAUGUUUUAGUCAGCUUCUUUGCUGCUGUCAAAAGGAGCCAACCAGAACAACUGUAGAGGAGGAAAAGUUUAUUUGAGGGCUCAUGGCCUCAGAGGUCUCAAUCCACAGACAGCUGGCUCCAUUCCUCAGGUCUGCAGGUGAGGCAGAACAACAGGGCAGAGGGAAGCAGCUCCCAAGAUGAUCAGGAAGCAGAGAGAGCGACUCCAGAUACAAAAUCCAUACACCAAAGCCACGCCCCCAAUGCCCACCUCCUCCAGCUGCACCCCACCUGCCUCCAGCUGCACCCCACCUGCCUCCAGUUACCACUCAGUUAAUCCCAUUAGGGAUUAAUCCAUGGACUAGUUCAAGGCUCUCACCACUUAACCAUUCCCCUCUGAACCCUCCCACAUAGUCUCACACGUGAGCUUUUGGAGACACCUCACAUACAAACCAUCACAAGGAGAUAACUUCAAGGAGACACAAGAGUUGGACUAUAAGCCAUUCCCCCUGGAGCACCUUGAGCAGAGCAGAUACUUAAUUGCUUUAAAAGAGGAGUGGGAUCUUCCAUCUGAGGGAAGACAAGGACUUUUGACACUUGCCAGUGACUGUAAUAAUCGUCACUGGUGGUGACUGUGCUUUUGCUACCAGUUUUUGUCAAGUGGUGGUCAAGCAGGGUUAAGGCUCAGAGAAAAGAAAAACCAGUGUCCUGGGCAGAACGUCUGUGUCCAGUUUGGGUCCAGCUUUCACUGGCACAAUUAUCUGUUGGCCCAGCUGCAGUCUGUGUACCUGCUUGAUGUCAAAGUGCCUGGUGGAAAGAGAGGCGAGGGCUGCAGUGGGAAUAUCUUGCCUGUUGACAGCUGCCUCUGGCAACAAUAGAAAAAGGAGGUGUAACUUGAUUUCUGUAGUCUUGAAAUUUUGGAUUUAAAUAUAAUAAAAUGGAAUUGUAUCAUAUAUACA
rnacentral:lncRNA from 1 species